rnacentral:lncRNA from 1 species
UGAUGGCGCCUAUCACAUUACUAGGCAAGCCAACCCAAACGUUUAAUCACAACUCUUUUUCUUUUAAUAAGUCAUUUUCUAACACGGAUUUAAAUACCAAAUUUCCAUAAUAAGUGUAUAAAACCACUAAAUGUGCGGAAUUUAAUAAAGACAGUAAACCAACACAGCCCCAAAUAUCUAGUGUCACGAGUCUAUAGCCUCUAAUACAUAGCUGACUAUCUAAUACAUCAUAAGUCUAGAAAAUACGGAAAAGAAAAAGAUAGGAAGGAGAAAACAGGACUGCGGACGCCAUGCAACUACCUUGCAAUCUCCGGCAACUCUAGAUCAGCUGAGGACCCUCACCCUGCCUCUCGGGCACCUGGAUCUACACACAAGGUGCAGGGAGUAAUGUGAGUAUGUCAACUCAGUAAGUAACUAGAGUAAAUAACGUCUGAAAGCAGCGACGAAUAGUUAAAAAUCAUAUAAAUGAAUAAACAACAGGAUAAUAGAUCAAACUUUACAGUUUUAAACCAGUUUCAUCGUAAAAUCAUCAGUUUCAGUUUAAAUACUUGAAAUCAUAUACUUAGCAAUUUCUUACGACAUAGGCUUAUUUGAAAAGAAGAGUGAAAUCAGUGAAAAAUAUCAUAACUGGGCCUCGCGGGCAAGGUAUCACUCAGAAUAUGACCUCUCGGGCAGCCUCUCAGUCACUUGUGACUCAACUCUCGUCACUGAGUACUCACUCUCGGCAUUAAGGCUCAUUAAUAUCUCAUAGUAAUAGAAAUCAUAGUAACCGCUGCGGCGUGCAGCUCGAUCCAUGGUUUAUAGUCGACUACGCUCACUAGCGGUGUACAAACUCUGGAGGGGCUCCUAUAGCCCAAGCGUUUGCGGCGUGCAGCCCAAGCAUAUAUAUAUAUAUAUAUAUAUAUCGUUGCGGCGUGCAGCCCGAUCCAUAUAAGUAUUAUAUAUAAAUAUCCUCACCAUUAGGUUCUCAACCUCUCUCAGUCAUUAACUUCACAGCCUCUCAAGCAGAACAGUAGAAAUUAGGAAACUCAGUCCAAAUAGUCCUCACAUUUAGAAGUAGAGUGAUAAAAGUUUUUAACAUUUAAACAGGUAAAACAUGAAUGGGAAUAUGCUUUCAACAAGUAGAGUGAGGAAAAACAGUAAAAAUGCCCCUAAGGGUCUCAACAAGUCGGCACAAGGCCCCAAACAUGGCAUACAACCCAUAUUAUGGUACAAAUGACUAAGGUACAGAAUAUCAUAAGGUUUCAAAUCAAAAUACGCGGCUUAAUAGUCGUUAUGGGACGGACCAAGUCACAAUCCCUACCGGUGCGCGCCCACACGCUCGUCACUUAGCAUGUGUGUCACCGUAUUUAUCAAACAAGUCAAAUACCGGGGUUUUGUACCCUUAGUUCAAGAUUUACAAUGGUUACUUACCUCAAACUGGUGAAAAUACUACUCCGCGACGCCUUUGCCCCUCGAAUCGGCUUCCACUCGCAUCGAAUCUAUCCAAAAUCAGAAUCACGACGUCAAAAUAUGCUAAGGGAAUGAAGCCCAAGCAAAAAUAAUCAAAUUAUACCCAAAAUCCCGAAAUUGGCCAAACCCGCCCCCAGGCCCGCAUCUCGAAACUCGAUAAAAAUCACAUCACUGAAAUCCUUACCCUCCCACGAGUCCAUAUAUACCAAGAACACUGAAAUCGGAGUCUAAAUGACCCAUCAAAUUCUCAUUUAAAAGUCCCUUAAUCUCAAGCCCUAAUUCCCCAAUUUUAGGCUUAGAUUGAAUGAUUUAUUAGGUAGAUUUCACAUUAGAAUCAAGUUUUAAGUCCAAAAUUCUGACCUCCAAGUGAUUCCCCUUGAAUCCCUCUUCAAUCUCCUUAAAAGAGCUUCAAAAACGACCAACAAUGGAAGAAAUAUACCCCAAAUUCGCAGACAAGACGACUAUUUAAACCUUCCACCCAGGCCUGAAAUCCUUCUCCGCGAACGCGGUCAAAGCCUCACGUUCGCGAAGCACAAAAAUUCCAUUGACCAAAACUCUUCUUCGCGAACGCGAUGGCACCAGCGCGAACGCGAUGCUUCCCAUUCCGACCCUUCGUGAAUGCGGGACUCCCCCUCGCGAACGUGAAGACCAAACCUGAUGCCUCCCCUCCUGAAUCUUCGCGAACGCGAGGGUCCACUCGCGAACGCGAAGAACAAAAUACCUGCAACAGCUGAAACCAAAAUUUGCAACUUUUCUUUAACUUAAAAUUAUCCAUUCAACCCUUCGAAACUCACCCGAGGCCCCCGGAACCUCAACCAAAGGCACCAACAUAUCUUAAAACCUUAUUCAAACUUGUACCAACCUUCAAAACACCUCAAACAACAUCAAAUCAACCAAAAUACAUCGGAUUCAAGCCUAAGUUUCCAAAAUCUUCCGAGUUCCCCUUUUGAUCGAAAAUCCAACCAAACCACGUCCGAAUGACCUGAAAUAUUGCACACACAUCCCAAAUGACACAAAGGAACUACUACACCUCUCGGAAUUCCAUUCCGACCCCUAUAUCAAAAUCUCACCUACCAAUCGAAAAUCGCCAAAAAUCCAAUUUCGCCAAUUCAAGCCUAAGUCUACUUCGGACCUCCAAAACUCAUUCUGAUCACGCUCCCAAGUCCAAAUCACCUCCCCAAGAUAUCCGAGCCAUCAGAACUCACAUCGGAGCCCUCUAACACAUAAGUCAACAAUCGAUUGACUUUUCCAACUUAAGCUUCCUCAAAAGAGACUAAGUGUCUCAAACCUUACCAAAUCCUUUCCGAACUCAAACUAAUCAACCCGAUCACAUAUAGAACCACUAGAAAAAGUAAUAAGAAGCAGAAAUGGGAGAAACGGAGCGGUAACUCAUGAGAUGACUGACAGGGUCGUCAUAAUAUAAAACAUUGUUAUAGACUAUGUCCAGUAUAAGAAAUGGAAUCUUAAAUUUUUUGAUCCACAACCAACUCCAUGAGGGUCUUGAUUAUACCUUCAUGACAAACUUAGGACAAUACUAUGCAGGAUUUACAGGUAAUUUGGCAAAUUGGGUACAAAUUGCCUUUUGGAACAAUGCUACACAGAUGCGGUUCAAAGAAAAUAUGUUCCACCAACUUAAAUCUAGGCCAGUUAUCAUUCUAUGUUUGUAUAUUUUGAUCCAUGUUUUCAAACUAAUACCGGGUUCAACAUUUAGCUGCUAAACAAUGACUACUAAAGACACUAAUCUCCAAAUGGAAGCAGAUGAUCUCUAAACAAACUAUAAAACUAGCAUGAAAUCAUGAAAUAAUUAUAAUGUCAUCAUAUGCAUAUGAAUGUCAAGUGAUAUGCAUAGGUCUGUAUGUACAUAACAUCAUCAAGACUCUGACGGCAUCCCAUCAUAUCAUCUCGGCCAUUGUGGGCAACUCAUCAAUAUAUACCAGCUGAUCAGGUGGUGGUGCGUAUAUAACACCAUAACUUUUUUCCAUAUCCAAUAUAAACACAUAAUAUACAUAUAUACGUGUAUAUUACACCAUCUGGUGCCACUGUGGGCAAAAUCAUCAACGAAUACCAGCUAAUCAGGUGGUGAUGCGUAUUUAACGCCAUAACCUUUCUCAUAUCCCAUAUACAUAUAUAUACAUAUAUAUACGCGUAUAUAAUGUCAUCUGGUCAUGGGUCAAUGUGCAUUUAUAAAUGCAUGAACUGCAUAUGAAAUACAUUAAUAAACUCUCUCGGUACGUUAUAAUACCAUUAUACCUCUGAUUAAUAUGAGUUACAAAUUUAAAAUAUACUUAAAUAUAUUUGAAUUAAUACUUUUAAUUAGUUAGAGCACGAAUGAGAUUGCAUCCUAUUUAUAACUUCUUAAAGAUGAUAAAACUAGUAACUCAAGGGAAAGUAAGAAAACUAUUUAUAACAUGUUAUAGUCUAAAGAUUGACUAAUGUUGGACCAAUAUUCCGCACCAAAAAAACUAAAAUAUGAAUACUUAGAAUUAAAUGGUUAUAUUAAAUUAAAAGAGAACCAUAUAUUUCUCACACCCUACAAUUUUGCAAGUAACAGACAUCAGCAAAAUUAGAAAAAAAAAAAAACUUUACUCAUAUAUAUAUUACUUUGAAUUAUGUAUCUAAUCAUGACUCAUUCUUUACUGUAGUUGAACAAUAUAUUUAAUCCGGCUAAACAAAUCUUUUGGACCCCAAGUUUUAUCGUAAACUUUUAUUUUUACUAUGCAAUACUUUAAAGUGAGUAAAUUCCAAUUACUGAAAAGGCUAACCUUAAAGUUCAAGUUCUUUUAUUUCUACUCAAACUUAAUGCUACUUCUUUUAUUAUAGAAAUUAGGAAUUUUUUUCCACUUUGAAAUAUUCUAAAAUAAAUAACAAACUCUAAAUCUAUCAUAAUUUUACAUCUUCCGAUUAUAAAAUAAACUUUACCAAAUUACGUAUUUUUGAGACCAAUAAAUAGAUAAUAUGGUAGUAGGGUGAAUCAGGAACAUAGGCAACCUUAGUAUUACUAAGAAUAGAAUUAUUUUUGAAACUUACGUGCUUGCUCGUUUCGUUGUAUCAUAUGGAUCAUACCAAAAAAAGAAGGAAAGGACAGCCUUAACAUACCCGUAAGCUCCAGUACUUGUAUCAACAACCUUCUCUUGAUUAAUAUCUAAGCUUUUUCUCAAACACUCGCACAACUUUUCCAGCGAAAACUCAAGAAAUGAUUUAGCACUCUCAAAGGUCACCCUACUGUGGUACAGAUUUCGUGAUCUUGUUAUCAUCAACCUGUCUUCCUCAUUUCCAAAUCAUCUCAAGCUAUACCAACGCCUUCCUUUUCUUUUUCCUUUUGUUUCUUGGGUGAAAGUGUUUUAUAUAUUCUUUAAUAUUGGAUACUUUGAUAUCUUGGCUCAAUACUUUUGAUUGUUAUCAGGAAUACCUUAUUUGUACUAUAAAAUAAGGGACCCAUAAAAUAAAUAUAUAGAAAAUAAUUGAAUAUCUAGAGAAGUUUGUCAAACAAAAGAGCUCCAACACAUUGAGCACACUGUCCGCUAUAACCAACACCAUUAUAGGUUCGGAAGCCUGCUACGACUAGCAGCACAAAAGCUUAACAAUAAACUAACCUUCAAGCACUAAA